AGACACCAGAGCUGUCCCUCUCUCGGCUUGCACUAAGGAGGAGGUCACGUGAGCACACAGUGAGAAGGCGGAGGACCAUCUGCAAGCAGGAAGAGAGCCCUCGCUAGAACCCCCCACGGUGGCAUCUGAUAGUGGACUUCUAGCUUCCAGAACUGAACUCAUAAAUGUCACAUCAGGCUGCCUCUUGGUGAAUUUUUAAUCAACGGGGAGAAUUUCAGCUACAAAUAGACCAAGAAUCAAGAGGCCCACUAUUGAUCGGUCAAAGUGGCACUUAUGAACCUGAGGUUGAAGCAGUUUGGAUAAAAGGAUUCUGGGCUUUCGAUGGCCCCAGAGACAUCUUUUUCCAUCAAGUCCAGGCUUGCUGAUCGGUACAGCUGAGAACAUGUUGAAUUUGAUGUGCCUGUGGAUAUUUGAGUCUGGAACAUUGAAGACAAGUUUGGUCUGGAGAUGUAGACUGGGGAUAUCUCAGCACACAGAUGAUAACUGAAAUGAUGGAGCGGAUGAUAUAAACUGGAGAGAGUCUGGUGUGGGAAGAGUCUUCCCUGAGGUGGCCGAAAGAUGUAAUUCUUACUCCAAAGACUGAAAUAGAGACAAGAGAAGCUGAAGUUACAGGGUUUUGUCAUUGGGAAGACAGUAGAGUGUGUCAUAUCCCAAGAGUGAAGCAAGGACAAACCAAAGAACAACUGGGAAGAUCUGGGAGAAAAAGGGAGAGGAGAGCCUGACGUUUCAAGAACUCAAGGUUCAGUACUAGGUCUUAGAGGAAGACUUCAUUUUAGCUUUGAUGCUCUCCGCUAGGCACAGAGAAACUUAAGCAGAAUGACAAGACCUGCUGUUUGAGUAACUCACGUUCUGACCAGAGAGACAGACAUGUCAGCAAGAGGUUACAAUACAGUGUGCUCAGAUUCUCCGGGACUUGGAGCACUUGUUCCAGAAAGGAAGGCCAGGGAAGUCUUCCAGGAGUAGAUGGCGCCUCUGCUGACCUGAAGGGUGAGGAAAAAGUGUCCAGUUGCAGAAGGUGCAACUGCCUAUAGAACAGCUGCCGCGGCCCACUGAAAGCUUCAAGCCGAGACCUGAGGUGCAUGAACCCUCCUUCUGAUAAGCUUCAGAGCAGAAAUGAUGCAACUGAGUCACAGAGAAGUUAAGUAAUCUGCCUGCCGACACUCGGGUCGAUGCCGCCUCAUUCCAUCACUCGGGCAAUGGAGCCAAAGGCCACGUUCACAACCACUAGGCUGUCCCAGCCCCUUGCUUCAAAGAUAGCCAGGCAGGAGUUAUUUUAUAGAAUGGAAGUAAUUUCUACGGGGCCAAGCAAUAAUAAGGAAAUUGGAAGUCAAGGACUAUCUUCCGAAUGGAGAAGAAGCUCCAUCAACCACAGAAGGAAAUUAUGAUCACUCCUGCCAUCCUGCUCCUUUGUGUAUCCAGGAUGAAGGGGAGAAUUGGAGUCUUGCACAAUGAAAGGACAACAUUGCUGCCAAAACAAUCCAUCGUGACUGUAGACAUAUUUUCCACCCUCAUCCUGCAGGUUUUCUGCCAGUUGUUGGCCCCUCACCAAUUUUGCUCCUGGGCAGUCUGAGGUGGAACAUAAUUUUGUAUAAAACAAAUUAUGCUCAACCUCACUUAUAAUCAGGGAAAUGUGAGUCAAAACCACAAUAAAAUAUCACCUCAUGCUGUUUAGGAUUGCUGUUAUCAAGUAGACAAGAAAGAAGUGUUGGUGAGGGUAAGGAGAAAAUAAAA
ensembl:lncRNA novel transcript